rnacentral:tRNA from 1 species
GUCAGGAUGGCCGAGCGGUCUAAGGCGCUGCGUUAAGGUCGCAGUCUCCCUCGGGGCGUGGGUUCAAAUCCCACUUCUGACA